GAUGAACGCUGGCGGCGUGCUUAACACAUGCAAGUCGAACGGAAAGGCCACAGCUUGCUGUGGUACUCGAGUGGCGAACGGGUGAGUAACACGUGGGUGAUCUGCCCUGUACUUCGGGAUAAGCUUGGGAAACUGGGUCUAAUACCGGAUAGGAAUCACAUGUGGGUGUGUGGUUGGAAAGCUUUUGCGGUAUGGGAUGAGCUCGCGGCCUAUCAGCUUGUUGGUGGGGUAAUGGCCUACCAAGGCGUCGACGGGUAGCCGGCCUGAGAGGGUGUACGGCCACAUUGGGACUGAGAUACGGCCCAGACUCCUACGGGAGGCGGCAGUGGGGAAUAUUGCACAAUGGGCGCAAGCCUGAUGCAGCGACGCCGCGUGGGGGAUGACGGCCUUCGGGUUGUAAACUCCUUUCGUCAGGGACGAAGCGAAAGUGACGGUACCUGGAGAAGAAGCACCGGCUAACUACGUG
rnacentral:rRNA from 1 species